rnacentral:tRNA from 1 species
CGCUGGGUGGAGCAGCCCGGUAGCUCGUCAGGCUCAUAACCUGAAGGCCGCAGGUUCAAAUCCUGCCCCCGCAACCA